rnacentral:tRNA from 1 species
GGAGAAAUAGCUCAACUGAUAGAGCACAGGACUUGUACGCCAGAGAUUCCUGAAUUGGUCCAUGUGUGAAGCUGACUUUCUUUCUCUC